rnacentral:rRNA from 1 species
UACGUAGGGUGCAAGCGUUGUCCGGAAUUAUUGGGCGUAAAGAGCUCGUAGGCGGUCUGUCGCGUCUGCUGUGGAAACUCGGGGCUUAACCCCGGGCCUGCAGUGGGUACGGGCAGACUAGAGUGCGGUAGGGGAGACUGGAAUUCCUGGUGUAGCGGUGAAAUGCGCAGAUAUCAGGAGGAACACCGGUGGCGAAGGCGGGUCUCUGGGCCGUAACUGACGCUGAGGAGCGAAAGCGUGGGGAGCGAACAGG